CUCCUACGGGAGGCAGCAGUGGGGAAUAUUGGACAAUGGACCAAGAGUCUGAUCCAGCAAUUCUGUGUGCACGAUGAAGUUUUUCGGAAUGUAAAGUGCUUUCAGUUGGGAAGAAAAAAAUGACGGUACCAACAGAAGAAGUGACGGCUAAAUACGUGCCAGCAGCCGCGGUAAUACGUAUGUCACGAGCGUUAUCCGGAUUUAUUGGGCGUAAAGCGCGUCUAGGUGGUUAUGUAAGUCUGAUGUGAAAAUGCAGGGCUCAACUCUGUAUUGCGUUGGAAACUGUAUAACUAGAGUACUGGAGAGGUAAGCGGAACUACAAGUGUAGAGGUGAAAUUCGUAGAUAUUUGUAGGAAUGCCGAUGGGGAAGCCAGCUUACUGGACAGAUACUGACGCUAAAGCGCGAAAGCGUGGGUAGCAAACAGGAUUAGAUACCCUGGUAGUCCACGCUGUAAACGAUGAUUACUAGGUGUUGGGGGUCGAACCUCAGCGCCCAAGCAAACGCGAUAAGUAAUCCACCUGGGGAGUACGCCGGCAACGGUGAAACUCAAAGGAAUUGACGGGGGCCCGCACAAGCGGAGGAACAUGUGGUUUAAUUCGAUGAUACGCGAGGAACCUUACCCGGGCUUAAAUUGCAUUUGAAUAUAUUGGAAACAGUAUAGCCGUAAGGCAAAUGUGAAGGUGCUGCAUGGUUGUCGUCAGCUCGUGCCGUGAGGUGUCGGCUUAAGUGCCAUAACGAGCGCAACCCUUAUCUUUAGUUACUAACAGGUCAUGCUGAGGACUCUAGAGAGACUGCCGUCGUAAGAUGUGAGGAAGGUGGGGAUGACGUCAAAUCAGCACGGCCCUUACGUCCGGGGCUACACACGUGUUACAAUGGGGGGUACAGAAGGCAGCUACCUGGUGACAGGAUGCUAAUCCCAAAAGCCUCUCUCAGUUCGGAUCGAAGUCUGCAACCCGACUUCGUGAAGCUGGAUUCGCUAGUAAUCGCGCAUCAGCCAUGGCGCGGUGAAUACGUUCCCGGGCCUUGUACACACCGC
rnacentral:rRNA from 1 species